CCCUUGUGCGUUGAUUCAAUGUUAAACAUAUGGAAAUUUUAUAGAAAAUCCACAGCCUUCAUCCUUGUAAUCUCAUAUUUGGCAAUUUGAUGACUGAUAGAUAUAGGAUUAUUGCAUGCAGUGCUAGCAUUGAUUUCCUUAUAACUAGUUUAUUAAUGUAGUUAUUGGUUAAAACAAACAUAAAUAUGGACCAAAUCAAGUACACCUUUUAGGGUGCGCUCGACUUUAGUGACUCAGCACGAU
rnacentral:lncRNA from 1 species